AUACAAAAAAUUUAGAACCCUGGUAGUGUUCCUCCUGCAACAUCAAGGCUUUCACCCCUCCCUCCUGAACCAUAUGACCGUGGUGCAACCGUAGAUAUUCCUCUUGAUUCUGCCAAGGAUUUGAAAGCUAGAGAGAAGGAACUUAAAGCAAAAGAGGCUGAACUAAAUAAGCGGGAACAGGAAUUGAAAAGGAAGGAGGAUGCAAUAGCACGAGCUGGAAUUGUAAUAGAGGAGAAAAAUUGGCCACCAUGUUUUCCUAUUAUCCAUCAUGAUAUUGCAAAUGAAAUACCAAUCCACCUGCAAAAGAUGCAAUAUGUUGCUUUCACAACAUUUUUAGGUUGAAUUGUU